rnacentral:rRNA from 1 species
UACGUAGGCAGCGAGCGUUGUUCGGAGUUACUGGGCGUAAAGAGUGCGUAGGCGGUGCCCUAAGUCUGGUGUGAAAUCUCCCGGCUCAACCGGGAGGGUGCGCCGGAAACUGGGGUGCUCGAGUGUGGGAGAGGCAGGCGGAAUUCCCGGUGUAGCGGUGAAAUGCGUAGAUAUGCGGAGGAACACCGAUGGCGAAGGCAGCCCCCUGGGCCGACACUGACGCUCAGGCACGAAAGCGUGGGGAGCAAACAGG